CUCUGUGAGGACUAGUUUGAAGGAAGCCGCUAGCAAAACUGCGAGCUAAUGAACAAGAACCUCAUAUUAGGCGUAGGCUGGAGGCGAGUUGGCACAAGACGACGAAGCCAUGUGAUUUAACGGCCACCGUAAAUGAUGUAGUUGCGCAGGGAAAGUUAAUG
rnacentral:ncRNA from 1 species